GAAAGAAAGAAUGUGGAGAGCAAGUUACUUUUUCUUCCCUCGCUUCUCUUCUCCUUCCUACUCUUCCAGUACAAUUUGUUUGUGCAAAAUGAGCUGCAAAGCAGGUCCUGUAAUACCCAAAUUUAUUCCUGUUGAGACAAGUGAAAUUACAUCAAUAAGUAAGCCUGACGGCAUGAGGUUCAGCCUUGUGUCAUAUAACGUUCUGGCUCAGGUGCGUGGAUGAAGGUUAUAAGUUGGUUGAAUUUCUUAGUUUCUCUCAAAUUAAUUUUUAAGCAUUUUAUCUGAUUUGUAUUAAAAUUAUUUGGGAAUAAUAGAAACACGUGAAAUAUUAGCAGAAUUGUGAAGGUUAAGCACAAUAGAUGGGAUGCUGUAAUUUGGGUGGUUGAACCUCAUCAAUAUCAGGUGCCCACGCGUAGGGAAUCAAAGAGAUGUGGAGUUUGAAUGGGUGGGAAGUUUUCUUCAUGGCUCAAGCUUCAAUUGGAUAGGGACCCACAAGGUUUUGUUUUGCCUGUGGGAAUUCACAUGAAAAGGAACGAGGAAUUAUCAAUGCAUGAAGUGCUUUCUGAGCCUAACAUGAAAGUAGAUAUUUGGCAUGUGUGGAUUGGGGCUUGUUUUUGCUUCAUGAACACUUUUGGCACGUACAUAAUACUGUGAUUAGUACAAUUUGACUCGGUAGUUUUCUAUUAUAGUGUUGACUUAAGCAUCCCAAACAAAUACAGUUCAAAGUAAACUGCUAGGCAGUUUUGCACGUUCAAUUAUGAUUUUACUGUAUUGCUGUUUAUUUGAAAUCAAUUUUUCAACUUUAAGAAUCUUUUCUUUACUCAUUCUUCUGCUUUAACUUGGACAGAAUUUGGUUAAAAGAAUGAUUUCCUGGUUAUCUUGUUGACUAUAAAGAUAUUUUUUCUGCUGCUAAGUUGGUACUUUCAUUUGUGUUUGCUCUUCUUACAAAAAGAACAUAUUGGGUAAUAGAAGAAAGCUAUAAGAAAUUUGGUUAGGAAUAUCUCAGAUAAUGUUUAAGGGUUUUACAAUUGGUUUAAAUUGUUGAAUUAUCUUCUGAAAGUUGGAACUGAUCUUAUUCUAGUCCCUAAGCAUUUAGUGAAUUGACUUGGUCCUAAUUCCUUCAAAUUUAUGCCAUAUUUUUGCCAAAGGUUUAUUCGACUAUUUUUCUACAGAUAAAACAGUUCGAAUGGUGUGGGUGCUUAAGUGGCAAUGAGGUUUGCCAAGUACUAGUAGUACUAGUGUUAAAAAGAUACAAAGGCAACUUGGAGGAUGAAUAAUUGGUUAAGAGAUUUUACAAAUCUAUCGUUUUUAGUUCUGAAUUAAGUCAUUUACAACAACAAAAAAAGAUUUGUUUGAAAUAACAAAGAAAAUAAAAAGUUUAGUUAUCCUUAUGAAAUCUGAAAAUAAACCAAAGAUUUCAAAAGAAAGGUUUUACUACCCAAGAAAUCAAUUUGUGGUUUUUUGGGAACUGCAGUUCCAGGUGCUGUUUGGCUUUGUAAAAUGUAUUUUGGUCUUGUGUCUUUGAAGGCUAUAUCUGAAUGAUUUUUGCAUGAAGUUGAUUUUGUCCACUCAUCCUAUUACCGGUAAUGAACCAUCUGAAACAACUAUGAUAUCCUCCGUUCUCAUUCUAUUUCACGAGCUGAAUGCUUAGUUAACAUGGUUGUCAAUUAAUGGAAUUUGGACAGUUUCAUCUUUUUGUAAUUUUUCUAGUUUGUAUAAUCAUUUUUAAUUGCAGGCAUACGUGAAGAGUGCUUUGUUUCCACACUCUCCCUCAUCUUGCCUCAAAUGGAAAGCUCGAUCUCAAGCAACAUUGACAGUUCUCAAGAAUCUUGGAGCAGAUUUUCUUUGCUUACAGGAAGUAGAUGAGUAUGAUAGCUUCUACAUGAUGAAUAUGGAGAAUCUUGGCUACUCAAGUAUCUAUGUUCAAAGAAGUGGACAAAAGCGUGACGGAUGUGCUAUCUUCUAUAAGCGUACCAGAGCUGGUCUUAGAGCAAGCAAUAGAUUACAAUGAUCUCAUAAACUCUAUUGAAGAUACAGCAGCUUCAUCUGGUGAUAAAGAUGGUGUUUCAAUACCAAGUGGAAACGCUGAUAAUGAAUUAAAAGAUGGUAAACAUGCACUAUUGAUCCUUCCCUUUCCAUUUAUACCAUUAUUAAGCCUUUUGAUAACUCUACUACGUUUCCUUCUUAAAUUAGUUACAUUUCUUUUGGAUAAAAUGGAAACUAGAUGUACUAAAUAAGAAUGUUCAUAUGUUACAAGACUCUUAGGCGUUGUUUGGAUUGCAUUUUUCUGGAUUUUUUUGUAGAAAAAUUACUGUAGCGAUUUGAUAUAUGUGAGGUAAAAAGGUGAUUGGGAAAUGUGUUCACAGAAAACGUAGCAAUUUUUUUUUGGAAAAUUGCUGUCCAAACAAGGCCUUAAUCUGGAAGUGUGACAGUAUGUCAUAAUUCUAUAUCUAUGGGACAUAGAAUUAUCAACAUCCUUGCAUAGAAGUUCAUGCUUGCAAAUUUCAGAAAUUUCUAGACAAUAUUGUGUUGUAGAAAGUUAGUUGUUGCGCCCUGUUUCAGUGAUUGGUUUCUUCCUUUAUUUUUUGAUUACUUGGAUGUGUACUCCCAGCAAAGUGUUAAUGCUUCUUCAUUGAUUCUAUUAGAAUAUGAAGUUAAAGGAGUAACUGUUUCUUAUCCACAGUUAGGAAAAGAAGCAAAUUUUGAUGUGUGUUGUAAUUAAGUUUCAGGGAGGAGAUUAUUUUGGAGCUUUGUUAGGUGCUUUGUAUGUUGAAAUGGGAUUUGUCCAUGCUAAGUAGUUUGUAGAUUAUCGAUUCCUUUCAUUAGAUGUUUGUUAAUACUUGAAAGAUUCACUCAGCAUGUUGCAUCGACAUGCUAGUUUCUCAUAUUUCCUUCUCUUAGUACCAGUUGCAUAUGGAAGCUCUUUAAAUAGUUGUACAUUGAUGAUAUUGAGGAAAGAUAUGUUCCAAGUCUCGUUUGAUAUUGGAAGAAGUUUACUUACUGAUUGAAAAGCAGGGAUAUGAUAAAUAAAUUUGUUUUAAUUUUUGCUUACUGUAAGAAGGCUAAUGCAUGGCCCUCUAGACAGGAGUUUAAGUUUGCAGAACUGGUAUAAGUUCAGAGUGUUUCAUGGUCCUGGGUUCAUCUAUUGUAGUUGGUCAAAUGUAUGCCUUUUCUGUCUCUGGUAAUUCUCUCCCUGAAUGUUUCUCAAUCUCUCUGCAUUGUCUUUUGACAAAUAAUUUACAACCUAGUUAUUUUUCAUACUGGUCUCAUUACAUGUCACUUCUCUUCUCUGUCAUAAGAAACAAAUAUAGCAUUUUGGGGCUUCCAAAGCGUCAAGAUAACAUGUAUAUACUGGCUUGUUAUUUAUUAAAUAUUUUGAAGUCUUCAACAUCAUAAAUUCUCGAACAGAAAAAAGUUGUUAGCUAUAACAAUUAUGACUGUUAGUACUGUCCCCUUCCUGACACACUACAAGGAGUUGUGCAUAUAGUUGCUAUGAUACUUUCAUACACAUCUUCCAGCUGAAGCCUGUCUAACUGAACUUAUUUGACAUAUGGUGUUCCUAUGCUACAACUUGAGAUUCUUUUUGAGAUGCAGAUUUGUGUAAAGCUCCAGGAGAUCAUGGUGAUCUUAAUGAUCCUCGUGUUAGACUGAAACGUGAUUGUGUUGGUGUCAUGGCAGUCUUUAAACUCAAAGUUCCUUCCUGUGACCCUAUUAUCAUUGCCAAUACCCACCUUUACUGGGAUCCAGAAUUGGCUGAUGUCAAGCUUGCACAAGCUAAAUAUCUACUUUCCUGCUUAGCUCAAUUUAAGCAGCUAGUUUCUAGCCAAUUGGAUUGCACACCUUCCAUAAUCGUGGCUGGUGACUUCAAUUCAGUCCCUGGAGAUCAGGUGUAUCAGUACCUUGUUUCUGGCUCGUCUUUGCCUGAGCACCUGCCAGAAAGUCGGGAUGAUCAACCCCUUCCUCUAUCUAGUGUUUAUGCCUACACAAGAGGGGAACCACACUUUACAAACUGCACUCCUGGGUUCACAGGAACUCUCGAUUAUAUCUUAUUUUCUCCUACUGGAGAUGUAAAGCCAGUCAGUUUCCUUGAACUUCCAGAAUCAGAGUCCCCUGAUGUGAUAGGUGGAUUACCAAAUCAUUAUCACCCAAGUGAUCAUCUCCCAAUUGGUGCUGAAUUUGAAGUUCUCCAGUAGUUGACGUCUGAGUUUUAGUCUACAAGCACAUAAAAAAUGCUUCGGGUGAUCCCUCGAUUUACUAAUUUUUCCGGUUUCGAAGUUUUUUAGCAGGGCCUUCAUUCUCAUAUAUUUGGUAGAACUGUAGCAGUUCCAGUCCCCAAGUUUUUCGUUGGUCCUUUUUUUUCAUGUAGUCAUUCAUUGGUCCUAUUUUAUUGAUUCUGUGAAAAUUUUGGAGAAAUGUCACAAGUGUAACUUCAUUGAUCCACUUAGUGGAAGUAGCGUUAGGAGUUCUUUCCAGGAGUAGGUUAUUUCUUUUGGAGUGCGUGUGCGCUAAUGAAGACAUCUCUUUUGCUGCUUCGAUUUUUGUUUAAUAGGCAGUCUCCCUGCCUUGAGCUGUAUGUAAUUUUCACCUUCUUGAUUGAAAAGCAUUGCUUUUCCCUCAUCAAACUUGAGUUUUUUUUUUUUUAAUAUUAGAGUAGCUUCACUUUUGAU